UCUCGGAAGAGGAUCUUAAAGUCCAUGCCU
rnacentral:piRNA from 1 species